rnacentral:lncRNA from 1 species
GCUCUUGCACAUGGACAUCAAGCCAUGAAAGAAGGACUUGUUUUUUUUCAAUAAUUUCUAUCCCUUUCUUAUAUAACAUAAGGUUUUGGAUCUGUUCUUCUCAAAUAUUAUGUGCAUUAGAGUGCUUAGCUUCCAGAAAUGCCUCAGGACAGAAGCACAGAAAUAAUUUCUAAAAGCAGAAGCUACCUAGCUUGUUUUUACAAGCUUUUAGUUAUUGGAGACAGUGAUACAAAAACAUGGCUGUUAGUGGGACUGACUUCUUGCUGAAGGCUUUGAUUCUACAGAAAUUUGUUGAGAAGAAGACAUUUCCAGGCAUUGAAUUACACAUUGUUCAAACUUGUAAAGGUUUCUCAUUGACUGUGAUUGCAGCACCUACAUUUAGAGAAGGUGCACUUGGUCAACAGGAAUGGUAUCUUAGUCCUCAACAGAAGGAAAUCCCUUUACACUCUGCAGCCACUAUAUAGUUCUGUAGUGCAGGGAAACCCCCCUCUGCAACCCGAUGGCAUGUUUCACUGUGUCCUGCGCAUUGUGCUUGGGAGGUACCAUGGGCUACAAGGACAAAUCUCAUGCGAGCCACUAGUCUUGAUUCUGGAACAGUGAGUACAAGAGCGAGCUGGCCCCAUGUGCUGAUGGCAUGAUAUCACCUGUCUGUAACCAAGGUGCCAAAGGUGUCGCACAGGUAAGCAAGGAGCACGCGCAGCAAUGUGAGGUGUUUGGCAAGCUGUUAAAAUACUGUCAAGCAGAAGCCCAGAUGG